AGUCGAGCGGACAGAUGGGAGCUUGCUCCCUGAUGUUAGCGGCGGACGGGUGAGUAACACGUGGGUAACCUGCCUGUAAGACUGGGAUAACUCCGGGAAACCGGGGCUAAUACCGGAUGCUUGUUUGAACCGCAUGGUUCAAACAUAAAAGGUGGCUUCGGCUACCACUUACAGAUGGACCCGCGGCGCAUUAGCUAGUUGGUGAGGUAAUGGCUCACCAAGGCGACGAUGCGUAGCCGACCUGAGAGGGUGAUCGGCCACACUGGGACUGAGACACGGCCCAGACUCCUACGGGAGGCAGCAGUAGGGAAUCUUCCGCAAUGGACGAAAGUCUGACGGAGCAACGCCGCGUGAGUGAUGAAGGUUUUCGGAUCGUAAAGCUCUGUUGUUAGGGAAGAACAAGUACCGUUCGAAUAGGGCGGUACCUUGACGGUACCUAACCAGAAAGCCAC
rnacentral:rRNA from 1 species